GCCUGGGUGGCUCUGUUGGUUGAGCGUCCGACUUCGGCUCAGGUCAUGGUCUAGCACUUUGCGGGUUUGAGCCCCGCGUCAGGCU
rnacentral:tRNA from 1 species